GUAUUGAUUGCGGGUUAGCGCAUAAAUGAGGUCAUUCUACACUUUUUAAAAGGGGUGUUUGUGUGAAAACGCGAGCCCCCUCCGAGAUGAUCCCAAAGGGUGCCCACGCGGUGAUGCACAAAGGGGUGAGAUGGAUUGUAAGAGAGCACCGGAGCGUGCACAAAGUCAGCGACAGCCCCGGCACCUCCGUUAUACGAUAAUGAUCCUUCCGCAGGUUCACCUACGGAAA
rnacentral:misc_RNA from 1 species